GUCCACACCGUAAACGUUGGGCGCUAGGUGUGGGACUCAUUCCACGAGUUCCGUGCCGCAGCUAACGCAUUAAGCGCCCCGCCUGGGGAGUACGGCCGCAAGGCUAAAACUCAAAGGAAUUGACGGGGGCCCGCACAAGCGGCGGAGCAUGCGGAUUAAUUCGAUGCAACGCGAAGAACCUUACCUGGGUUUGACAUAUGGAGAAAUCUCCCAGAGAUGGGAGGUCCGUAAGGGCUCUAUACAGGUGGUGCAUGGCUGUCGU
rnacentral:rRNA from 1 species